rnacentral:rRNA from 1 species
UGCCCCCUGAUUUAAAUAUUAAAGGGCUGCAGUAUUUUGACUGUACAAAGGUAGCAUAAUCAUUAGUCAUUUAAUUGAUGACUCGUAUGAAAGAUUGGAUGAAAUAUAGACUGUCUUUUUUAUAAAUUUUAAAAUUUAAUUUUUAAGUUAAAAAGCUUAAAUAAUUUAAAAAGACGAGAAGACCCUAUAGAGUUUUAUUUUUAGUUUAUAUUGAAAUUUUUAUAAGUUUAUUAGUUUGAUUUAGAUUUAAUAAUUUUGUUGGGGUGAUAGAAAAAUUUAAUUAACUUUUUUUUUUAUAAUAUACAUAAAUAAAUGAUUUAAUGAUCCAAUUUUAUUGAUUAUAAGAAAAAAUUACCUUAGGGAUAACAGCGUAAUUUUAUUUUUUAGUUCAAAUAAAAAAUAAAGUUUGCGACCUCGAUGUUGGAUUAAGAUAAAAUUUAAAUGCAGAAGUUUAAAAUUUUGA